rnacentral:rRNA from 1 species
UACGUAGGGUGCGAGCGUUUAAUCGGAAUUACUGGGCGUAAAGCGUGCGCAGGCGGUUUUGUAAGCCAGAUGUGAAAUCCCCGGGCUUAACCUGGGAAUGGCAUUUGGGACUGGCAAGGCUCGGAGUGCGGCAGAGGAGACUGGAAUUCCUGGGUGUAGCAGUGAAAUGCGUAGAAUAUCAGGAGGAACACCGAUGGCGAAGGCAGGUCUCUGG